ACAGGUGUGGCUGAGCGGGGCGAUGGAGCUGGGCGGCGUGCCGCGGCCGUGGCGCUACGGGCUGCUGCUGGGCGCCUACCUGCUCUUCCUGCUGCUGGGCGCCGGCGUGCUGGUGGCCCUGGAGGGCGCGCCGGAGGAAGCCCUGCGGCGGGAGCUGCGCGCCGCCCGCGCCCGCCUCCUGCACGAGUACCGCGCCUGCCUCUCGGCGCCGCGGCUGGAGCGCCUGCUGGAGCGCCUGGUGGCUGCCGGCAACUACGGCGUGUCCGGCCUCGGCAACGUCUCCGGCGACGAGAACUGGGAGUUCACCUCGGCGCUCUUCUUCACCGCCAGCGUCCUCACCACCACCGGUUAUGGCCACACAGUGCCUCUGUCAGACGGGGGCAAAAUAUUCUGUGUCUUGUACUCGCUGCUGGGGAUCCCGAUGACGUUACUGCUCCUGGGCUGCCUCCUCCAGCACCUGCUGCCCUUUGUGAGCUAUCGGCCCGUGCAGUACAUCCACACGCGCUGGGGUUUCUCGCUGGCCCGUGUUGCCCUGGCGCAUGCUACAGGGCUGGGACUGACCACCCUCGGACUCUUCAUCCUUAUCCCAGCUGUCUGUUUCUGGGCACUGGAAGGCGAUUGGAACUUCCUGCAGUCUGUCUAUUUCUGCUUCAUCUCACUCAGCACCAUCGGUCUGGGGGACUACGUGCCCAAGGGAAGCUCCCAGCCACCUCUGCAUGAGCUGUAUGAGCUCAGCAUCACCUGCUAUCUCCUUGUGGGUCUCCUGGCCAUGCUCCUGACUCUGGAGACUGCAUACAGGCUGCGGGAAGUCCGUGCUUUCAUCCACUUCUUUGCCCCUGCUCGGGACUCUCCCCGGGAGGACGAUGACCACGUGGAAAUCCUGGCCAGGGACCAGUUUGCUUUGGCCACAGUGUCUACGAUAAGUCCCCCCGACAGGCCCACGGAAAGAGGGCCCACUUGAUGUUUCCCUUGGUGGAGGUGGGCAGCCUGCCCCACGCAAAUUGCAGCCCCCUCCCAGGGGAAAAUCUUUGGCUACAGAGACAGAAGAGGCCAUGUGGGGAAGGUUAGACUGAUGGGGAAAGUUAGGGGGCAGGGUGGGCCCGGGAUCAUUUCAGAGAAGAGCUGCUGGGACUCCCACAUGCCUGUAAGCGGUCCCCGCUGCGAUUGGAAAACCCAGCUUGGUUAUACUGAGAUGCUCGUGGGGCUCGUUGCUCUGUGUCAGGAUGUUCGUCAACAUCCUAUUGCUGCAAUCUUCAGGUGUCGCAACAGCGCAGGGGGUCAUCAACAACCUUUUAUAAUGAAAGAGCCAAAGCACAUCAAAAUUCAGAGCAAGAAAGACCCCAAUCUAAGAAAACAUAUUUGCAUAACUGAAAAUAAACAAUGUUGCUAAUAAAUGGUGUGUUGACGAAUAAUCCAUAAAGUUUCUGUAGCCCAAAAUCUGGUUGUUGUGAGUCCUUUAUUAGGAAGUGGCACACUAAGUCAUGAACAUACACAGGAACAUCCUGCACAAUUGUUUCAGUGCAUGGGCAUAAGUCUGUGCACGGUUUGCCCUUACAUCACCGGCAACUGUUCACCUCUGACAUUUCCCUUUCUAAGACGCAUCUCUACAAAGUCCUUCACUCAUGUGCAAUGUCUUUGCCUGCCAUUGUCUUCACAUACUGGUUAUUCUAGCAUUCCACAAAUUCCUCCAACAUACCUUAGCUUAAAGAUUUUUAAAAGAACCUUAUUCGGUUCUGCACUGAGCCACAUUUGGCUCUGGAGCUGUAGACACCUCCACCCCCCCGUAACGUGGCCAGCAGCCAAGAAGGAUCUCCUCAGUGACAGUAUGUUUUCAACUUGUGUUUGUGUAAGACAUACAAAGAGGAUUUGGGGAUGCCCCAAGCUGGACAGC